UGAGGGAUUUUGCGCAAUGGAGGAAACUCUGACGCAGCGACGCCGCGUGCGGGAUGAAGCCUUUCGGGGUGUAAACCGCUGUCAGUGGGAAAGAUAAUGACGGUACCCACUGAGGAAGCCUCGGCUAACUACGUGCCAGCAGCCGCGGUAAGACGUAGGGGGCGAGCGUUGUCCGGAAUUACUGGGCGUAAAGAGCUCGUAGGCGGGGUUGUUAGUCUCGGAGUAAAUCCACUUGCUUAACGGGUGGUUCAUCUGGGAAACGGCAGCUCUUGAGGACAGGAGAGGAAAGCGGAAUUCCGGGUGUAGCGGUGAAAUGCGUAGAGAUCCGGAGGAACACCAGUGGCGAAGGCGGCUUUCUGGCCUGAUUCUGACGCUGAGGAGCGAAAGCCAGGGGAGCGAACGGGAUUAGAUACCCCCGUAGUCC
rnacentral:rRNA from 1 species